AGGACUUAUCAGGGCAGCUCAAAUAAGUCAAAAGAUAUAAACGAAAAACAAAUGUCCAUUACAGAGGAUAUAAAUGAAUAGGCCUGUCCUCAGACCUCAUCAGCACUGGUGGCAUGUUUGUGCUCUGUGUAAGCUAAUGUAAAGAGUGACUGUGAGCAAAGCUCAGACAGAAACUUAAAAUGAUCAGAAUCUGAAUUUUUUCAUGUGAUGUUGGGAUUCAGCAGUUCACUGCAGCAUUCAUAAAUUUGUUCCUGUUUGCAUUAUGUAGACUUGUUAAAAUAAUAAAACAGCAGUACACAUAAGAGCUCUUUUAAACUCAUUUUAAAUCACUGAAAACCAGAAACCAACACGUGGCACUCUGAGAGCACAGACCCCGCCAAGGCAGCUCACUCUCUGCGCAGGAUUUACUUUCAGUGCCAAUAGUGUUGUAUUUUCUGUAUGUUCAUUUUUUAAACUUUGUUCUUUUUAUUUGUAUUUUAAGAAAAUUGUAGUGCAACAGAAAUAGGUGCAAAUCGCAGGCUUUUGUUAUUUGCCCUGUUGAAACCCAUUUGAAUAUACUGUCAAGGUUCUCCUCAUCUUCUCUUUUUCUGUUGUAGAAUAGAAUUGAAUAGCCCUUUAUUUUCAUUGCACAUGUAUGCACAUAAUGGGUGCUCCAUGCCAACUGUGGCGGAAUAAAACAUAAAUAGUAAGACAGCAGGAAUAAAUAAGAAAAAGGAGAAAUGGAUUCAGUCAAGAUGAAUAUAUACAAAACAUGAGGGAGGCACACAUUAGAGAACAGGUUGCAAAGUGCUUGAAUGUAAUGCAAAGGACUUGGUCUGAAAGAGUCUGUGUGUAAGUGGUCUGAGCGAUGAAGGUUACUCACACCAUGGCUCAGAUUGGUGAGGUGGGGGGGCAGGAGUGGGGGGUAGUGUUUGUUAACAGUGCGAAUGGCCCAGGGGAAGAAGCUGUUUGUGAGUCUGAAGGUGUGGGACCUGAUUGACCUGAGGCACUGACCAGAGGGCAGCGGGUCAAACAGGCAGCCAGGGUGCAAGGGAUCACCUGUGACGGCCCUGGUUUUCCUGAGACAGGAGGAUCUGCUGAUGGCGUCCAGGGGUGGCAGAGGGCAGCCAGUGAUUUUUUUUUUUAAGGUGGUCUUAAUUACCGUCUGUGCAGCCUUCCAGUUCUCUGUUGUGGUCCGUGCGUAGCAAACACCCAGGCAGCAGGAGGCCACCCUCUCCACUGAGGAUCGUUAGAAAGCCAGCAGCAGCUUCUGGUCCAGGUUCUUCUUCCUCAGGACACAAAGGAAGUCCAGCUGCUGCUGGGCCUUCUUUAUGGUGUUGUGCAUCCAGGGAUGGGUCCUUCUGCUGCUUCCCACCUUCCACCUCCAUGCACCUGGGAUGAUUAACUCACCUGAAACCUGGAACUCGUGAGAACGUAUUCCUGUGGAGAGAAGGAAUUACGGAUCUGUCUGAAUUGGAGAUUUUGUUACCACAAGCUGCAAACUCCAUUUUUUCAUUUUUAUUAAUGUGGAUAUAUUACAUGUGUAGCAUUUGUUUCCUUAUAUAGUAAAAGUGUUUAAAUGUUUAGUAAUAAAUAUCAAGUGAAAGAUGUUUAAACACAGGUUUGUUCUGUUUAAGAAAAUGUGUUCAGGAACAUUGUCCAUGUAUUAGCAUUGUUAUAUAUUUAAACCUAAUAACCUGUUAUUAGUCAUAAUAAAAUAAUGUGAUAUUUAGAAUAACCACAUAGUUCAUAUACCUAUUUGUUGUUCAUUUAAAAAAAGACUUGUAACUUAGAUUCACCUGCUGGGCCCACGUCCUCAUUUUAGGUCUGACAGCAUUUUAGUAUUAUAGUAUUUCUAUUCUUGUGUUCUUGUAUGAAACACAGCUCUAUAUACCACAGUUAUCACCUUCAUAUCAAUCUAUUGACCAAAUGUGACAUAGUUGAAAUCUUUACACGAUACUUUAUGUGUUAACCAGACACACCACACUUGUAAAAAUCAUAGUUUGGAGUUAGAAGCCUUUUUUUCCCCCCGUUUUCAACCAAUAAAUUAUUAAGCUGACCUUGAAGACUUUGGUGGAUGUAAGCCAAGUUUCAAUGGACCGUCAGCACGACCCCACUCUACACCCCUACACAGUUUUAUUGGAAUUCAUUUAAAACUUUUCCAACUGUUGUGUUUACAGACAGAAUGAUGACACAUACACACGCAUGCACGCAAACACUACCAAAGACCUUCUUGGAAGAAGUAAAAAAAAACAUUAAAUGAAAUUCACAGCAUUGCACUGAAAUAACCGAAUAACUUUCACUGGACAUCUGAAGUGGUGUGUCAAGUUCAGUGCUGUUAAAUUCUUGCUUACAGAGUUUGAAAAUAACUUUUGAAAAGAUUCUUUAACUGUUUAAAACUCUGCUCUGUUUACUUUAGCCUGCCUUCUUAGAUGCUUCU